GAUGAACGCUGGCGGCGUGCCUAAUACAUGCCAGUCGAGCGAACAGACGAGGAGCUUGCUCCUCUGACGUUAGCGGCGGACGGGUGAGUAACACGUGGAUAACCUACCUAUAAGACUGGGAUAACUUCGGGAAACCGGAGCUAAUACCGGAUAAUAUAUUGAACCGCAUGGUUCAAUAGUGAAAGACGGUUUUGCUGUCACUUAUAGAUGGAUCCGCGCCGCAUUAGCUAGUUGGUAAGGUAACGGCUUACCAAGGCGACGAUGCGUAGCCGACCUGAGAGGGUGAUCGGCCACACUGGAACUGAGACACGGUCCAGACUCCUACGGGAGGCAGCAGUAGGGAAUCUUCCGCAAUGGGCGAAAGCCUGACGGAGCAACGCCGCGUGAGUGAUGAAGGUCUUCGGAUCGUAAAACUCUGUUAUUAGGGAAGAACAAACGUGUAAGUAACUAUGCACGUCUUGACGGUACCUAAUCAGAAAGCCACGGCUAACUACGUG
rnacentral:rRNA from 1 species